UUUGAUGCAAUGAAAAAGAGGAGUAUAGUGCUACUGCGUAUAGAGAGAGAAGAUUAUAAGCUGAAAGUCUUCUUACGAAAAGAACACUAGAAGGUAGCUUUGGAGCACCAUUUCUGAAAAUAGUAGGAAAUGGCGGGUAUGCCCGUUAAAGCUAACAAGUGUUUUGCAAAGUAAUUUAUUUAUUUACAUUGCAAAGAAUUAAGGUGGUACCGCGAGCUUCUUCGUCCUUAUU
rnacentral:ncRNA from 1 species